UUCGCAAUGCCCGAAAGGGUGACGAUGCGACGCCGCGUGAGCGAAGAAGGCCCUAGGGUUGUAAAGCUCUGUCGAGGGUUAUGAAAUAUAGAUGGGUUAAUACCCCAUUUAUUUGACAAAAGCCCAAAAGGAAGCCACGGCUAACUCUGUGCCAGCAGCCGCGGUAAUACAGAGGUGGCGAGCGUUGUUCGGAAUUAUUGGGCGUAAAGAGCACGUAGGCGGCCCUGCAAGUCAGUUGUGAAAGCCUUCCGCUUAACGGGAGAACGGCAGCUGAAACUACGGGGCUAGAGUACGGGAGGGGAGAGUGGAACUUCUGGUGGAGCGGUGAAAUGCGUAGAUAUCAGAAGGAACGCCGGCGGCGAAAGCGACUCUCUGGACCGAAACUGACGCUGAGGUGCGGAAGCUAGGGGAGCAAACGGGAUUAGGUACCCCGGUAGUCCUAGCCGUAAACGAUGGGCACUAAGUAGAGGGGUUUU
rnacentral:rRNA from 1 species